GAAUCAAACAUUCACUAUCUGUGAUGAGAAAAACGACAAUUUCAUUUCACAUGAAAAAUUUAAAUAACGAUAAUGAGACGUUAUGAAUAUUCACGAUACUGCAUUAAAUAAAACAUGUUGGAUAACCACGUGUAACUCUAGCUGAAAUAUUCAAACUUUCCAAGCACCGAAGUUCAGAGACGAAAAUUACGGAAGGCCAAGGUCGUUCAAUGGUAUACUCCCGAGUAUACUCCAUACCUCGGAGACCUGUUAUGUCGCGCUGACGCUUUUUGGAAGUCUAAUAAUUGCGUGCUAACGUGAGCCUACUAAGGUGAACCGGCGAAUUGCUGUCAAUGAACUCCAAGCCCGUAGACCAACCGGCCGGCCGGCUUGGCUGGUGCGGCGCGGCUUCCUCGAGUCAGCCGACCGUACGCAUGUCGAGAUUCAAAUGGAAGUUUAACAACAAUCUCUUCGUGCUUAGACUCCAGGUAAAGACUUCUGGCUCAUGGGAUAGGGAACUCUUCACAUUCGAACGAGUAUAACGUUCGUAUAUGGGGCAUUCCAUGUCGACUCAAAGUGCCUCGAAAAUCAUUGAAAAUAUUUUCAAUAGAGUAUGGUUUCAAUGGUUCAAAGAUCGACUGGGAUCUGAGUCAGAAGUUGCGAGGUACAUUUUCUUCAUAAAUUCAAUAUCGGGAAUUGUUUGGUCGCGUGUGGAACGAGGAGAAAGGCGAAGUACUUUAAAAUACUGUAUAUUAAUAAAUACACGCGUAAUUAGAAAUAUUUUUCAUCGAGAAGGAUCUAAGAGAUGUAUAAUAAUGUUCUCAUUUUCUUGGAUCGAUGCACAAAAUGAGCAUUGAAAUUUCUUUACGAUUUCGCCUGUACCUACAUAUCUUCCGGCACUGAUUCAUUGGAUUCGCCGACUACGAGAAAUCGUAGGCUGUAGCGGAGAUUCUGAGAAUACUUUCGGAUCGUGUGACGACUCCCAGUGGGUGUGAGCUCAUGUUUUUUUUACUCCUUACUUCAUUCAAUUUUACAGUAAUCGAAUGUUUGGUCAGGAUAGGGUCGGCGGCGAAUCAAUUUGAUCAUCAUUUCAGCUGAAGAGAUAUACUCGAGAGGAACUAAAUUUAUUCAUUUCACAGGAAAGAUAUCGAUGAUCCUUGUAUGUUAUUCCACGAGUGAAAGUUUCGGUCGACAAAAUAGUAAAACAAUUUUAGGGAGCGAAUAAUUUCCUUUUGUCUUUUUUUUUGAUACAGAUGUGUGUAAAGUAAAUUUAAUGACAUAAUAAGCCGGGUAUUGUACUGUAGCCUCACAUGGUUUCAUUUAUAUUUUAUCAUUCUAGGUAGCUGUGUCGAUUUGAUCACGACCGGGGUGGCAAUCGAAAAACUGGACAAUCAUUUUUUCGCCAUCAGAAAUAAGGUUUCAUCGUCGGUGUAACUCGAUUGGUCGCUUGAUUGCGUGUCAUCGAAUAGUUUCAUUUUCUUAAAUGUGAUACACAUUACAUCACACAUGCGAUGUAUCCAACGAUAAUAUAUAGGGCAAAUUUGCAGGUGACAAUUUGCUAAUAUAAAAAAUCGACUGUAUGGGCUUUCAGUCGUCGUACAGACGGUCGUUGACCCAAAGUAAAGUGCUGUUCACAAGAAGUACAAGUCAUCCCGACAUAUUUUUGGAUUAUUGAAAACUAUAGGAGAAUUUGACUCACUUGUAUUGAGAGUUUGAAAAUAUUUUAUAUCAAUUACAUUACUCGACGCACAAUGGUCGAGCAGACAAGUCUAGGCUGUACGGUGACAUUAUUUCACCAUUUCUACCGGAAAACGACUUUCACAGGAAGCGCAUUAAACAAGCAUUACAACCAUUGUUCGUUCGUCCGAAAUGAUUGUAAAUUUGGUAAAUGUGAAAAUCUGAAUAACGGAUGUCGUUCGCGCUAAUAACUGUUGACCGGAAUCACCAUUAGUAUAUUCGAAACUGCUUACGAUCAAUACCAAAUUAUUGAACGAGAUUAACAAUUAAUGCCAACCUAUUAGGCGCAUAAUAUAAGGAUUAUACCUCUAUACAUAGGUGCACGGUAACUAAUUAUGAUAAUUAUUUCUGAAAAUACAUAAAGCAUCAAAUGCACCAGUUACGAAUUUCAGGCCCCUCAAACUCAUAUGUAUACAUCAUAUAGAAUUGACUCGUAAAGGAUAGGUUUGUAUUAAACCAGCUGCGAAUACACAUUUUCCAUUUCUUUAAUUUCGCCCUAAAAACAUAAAACAUAAAUAAAUGUCACGUUGCAGCACGAUCCGAUGUUAAAAUAGAUUGUUUUAUCGGGCCCAAUAUUUGUUCAGAAAAUUGCGUAAUGUGUACUUAUUCUGUAGGUGGUAAGCCUAGUUUACAUGAGUAUACGAUUAGUUACGAUAUCAUCGAACACUCAAAUUGAUAUUUGUAAAUAGAUCUCCCACAAAUUGAAACGCGGUUAAACGUGUGGAUAUUGUUCCUGUUUUUGAAAAAGUUGUCAUAUUUUUUCAUCAGUACCAGUAGCUUAGAAAUUUUUCUCUCAGCAAAUUUUGAACGAACAAAUUUUCAAGCUAAUGACGAUUGCUGAAAGCGGCAAUGAUUGAGAAAAAAAAACUUCCAAGUAUGAUUAUACGUGGAACUGAAAAUUUUACUUUUGACAGGGUGUUUUGGCGAUAGUCGUACCAUUCUUAUCUGACAAUAUGCGAUAACUGUACUAUAAAGUAACAUACGUAUACCAUGAGUAUGGCUGAUAAUGUUGAAAAUGCAUCUCAUAGGUGAGCUACUGCACGAUACAGGUGGAAGGUAGACGCAUGAAAUAUUGAAAAUUUACCUCGUCGGACCUUCGAACUUACUCUACUCUACGAGGCAAAGGUUGAUAACAGAAAAUCUAUUACUGUUCAUUUUUCAAUUUUACAUUCGAAACAAUAUCGAUGACUUUAUCAGUUAAUCAAUCAUUUUACUACAGUCAGCAAGUGAGCCUGAAGCGGUAAAGUAAGUCAAGGAUUUUUACUUCUAGAUGCAGUAUGCAUCGGUGCAUCUCCAAAGGUAAAAUUAUUAUAUCAUAAUCAUUGCGAAGAAGCGAAUAUUAUUUUACCAUGUUGAGAAUGUGUACAUAUAUCGUAAUCUAGUGAAUACAGAUUUUAGAAUAGUAAAUUAUAAA